rnacentral:snoRNA from 1 species
AGACCAUGAUGUGGACACUUUCAGAGCAGAUAUUUGUAUCUUUCCCAUGCUUCGUAUAGUGACUCAUUAUUGAAUUGAAUGAAGGUGGUGAUGUCAUUCCUUAGCUU